AUGGGCCGAAAAAUGGGGGACUGGGAUGGCAUUCUUUGUUUAUAAUCUCUCCACAAAGAUUUGGGUUUGAUAAAAAUGAAGAGAGUUCAAAACGAAGUAAUGUGGGGGUAACUGGGAUUGCACCACUGAAGUUGUUAUAUGAAAUAUUGAAUGUCCGGAGAGAUGACUGGUUUAAUGGAGGUAUGGUGCCAUUGAACCUGUUCCAGUCGAGAUGCAGGUAGUACAAGCCGUCCAGAUAGGUUAGCCAGGUGGGUAUUUUUCCAGUUAGAUUGUUGUGGGAGAGAUCAAUAGUACGGAGUCUAUGAAGGGAAUGGAUUGAAGGAGGAAAAGAACCUGUAAAGGAGUUAUGAUCGAGAAAGAGGGAUUUGAGAUUGAGGAGCUUGGACAAAUCCGGAAUGGGUCCGUUUAGCGAGUUGUUCUGGAGACUGAGCACACGAAGCUGGUCAAGGCGAGUCAAAGUGUUGGGGAGGAAAACACCGCCAAGAUCUAGGCCUUGGAGAACUAGGUGCACCACUUUUUGCUGGAAGCAUUUCACUCCUUUCCAUUGACAGAAAUGGAAGCUUGUAUUUUGAGAAUACGGAAGAUUGUCGUUCAAAUCAGCUUUAGAUUUGAAGUCUAGAAGUGCAGAGGCAUCAGAUGGCUGUAGUAAGUUCACUGCUGAAGCAGGAGAGCUAGAAGCCGCUACCAUAGUGAUUAACGACAGUAGAAGAAAACCAU
rnacentral:misc_RNA from 1 species